AUGUGUGCACACUGCCCUGUUGCCUGCACAAUUUGUUCCACUUCCUGUUAUUUGCAGGAGAACAACAGGCUCAAGGAGGAACUGAUGAAGAAGACGCGGCUGUUGCAGAGGGUUAGCGAGGACGCUGCAUCCCAGGCCACUUUCGGCGGCGGCGGCGGCGCGAGCCAAGAGCCCCGCACUUCCGUCGUCACUAGCAAGAUGGACGGCCCCAAGCCUUAUGACGGCGCUGCCUCGGCGAACCCGCGAGGCGCCUCUGCUCUCCGUCACAACGGGGUUUCAGAGAGCGGAGGAGACCCCCUGAUGCACCAACAGACGAGGCACAACAAGUACCUCGACAGCGGCCAGGCGUUCAGAAGGGAGCCGGCAGGAAUGGACAAUGGUGGACCCUCGCACUUCUCCACUCCAUCGUCUCGUUCCAUUUCUCCGACAAGGCCUAGAAAAGAAGGCGAUUAUGAUUCCAGACUCAACUUACCUGGACAAGGGCUACUGCCUGUUUCAGAGAUGAACUCAAACGUGUCCUGGAAGCAGGACCUUACUGUUAAGGUCAAAGAACACGAAGAAGAGAUCACACAGUUACGAAAGCAUCUGGAUAACUAUAUAAUAAAGGAAGCACUAAUACUCAAGGAAAAAUCGGUGCUGGAAAAACGCAUCGCUUAUAUGCGUGUGGCAUUUGAUCAUCAGCAGCAAGACUUGGUUGAUGCAGCAUCAAAGUCUUUAGCAUAUAGACAAGAUAUUAUCGAGGAAAACAUCCGCCUAGCAUAUGCAUUGCAGACUGCACAUCAAGAGAGGUCAAUGUUCAUAUCCUCUUUGCUGCCUAUUCUGUCUGAAUAUGAGAACCUACGACCGUCUGUCCCCGAUGCUCAAUCCAUUGUUGGUAAUUUGAAGGUUUUGUUUAGGCAUCUGCAGGAGCAACUAAUGCUCACCGAGGAGAAAGUUAAGGAGUCACAGUAUCAGAUUACCCCAUGGCAAAAUGAAUUGCCAAAUAAGACCAGUCUUCCUGUACAGUCACCUAACAAUCCUCUUGGAAAAGUAUCGUACAAAAGCGGCCUUGAUAUUGUGCCCCAGACGCCAUAUCCUCAAGUACAAUCUCCAAUGUCCUCCCCUUCCCCUGUUCAAGCCAGAGGCAAUUGGAAAAACCAUCAAGUAAUUCCAAGUGAGGUUCCUACAAGAAUUAUGGAUCAAGAUUACGGAGGAAGGGCCGCUCUUUCAAGCAGCAACCAAUUUAGGAAGGAUGUUCCUGCUCAAGCGUCCCAACGUGAUUCUGAUGCUCUGCAGUUUGGUUUCGUUGCUCAGAACUCGAGCCUACCACUCGAGGGCCCUAGUAGAAGGUAUGUCUUGGAUGAUUCUGUGGGGGCUGAAGACCAACAUGUGCGCGAACCUUCUGCUCAAUGGGGCCCUGGAGACUCACCUAAUUUAGAAUCUGGCCUCGAGGAAGCAAACCCUUCAUAUCCCUAUCUUCCUACUGUUCCCGAGGAGCCUGGUUCUUCUUUUUCUGAAGCUGCAGAGGAUGAUCCAUUGCCAGGCAUAGAGGGUCUUCGAAUCACGGGUGAGCCUUUUCCUGGACGAGACCUUCAAGCAAGUGGGUUCUCCAUCAACGGAACCACUAGUUGUAAUUUUGAGUGGGUUCGCCAUUUAGAUGAUGGCUCCGUAAAAUUCAUAGAAGGAGCAAGGCAACCCACCUAUUUGGUUACUGCUGAUGAUGUUGAUAAUCUACUAGCCAUUGAAGUCCAACCCCUAGACGACAGAAAAAGAAAGGGUGACAUCGUAAAGGUUUACGCUAACGAUCAAGCAAAAAUCACUUGCGAUCCUCAAACAAAGGAACUCAUAAAGAAAACCCUUGAAGUUGGGCAUGUGUCUUAUCAAGUCCAACUGCCUCAGGUGAGAUUCUUAGACAUGUGGGAACCAGCUGUUUUGGCAAUAAAGAGGGAAGGUUACAGCAUUAAAUGCAACGGGCAGCGUGGAGUUGUUCUCACGGAGAAAUUUCAGAAAGCAACUGCUAUUAAUAUUCCAUACGGAUACGAGCGUCAGACAGAGUUUUCGAUUGUAUCAGCUGACGGUGACGAGUAUAAUCUCCAGCCAGCAGACAAUAACAUGUCGCGGGAUACGAUUGUGCUAGUGCUAAGACUGUUCAGAUCCAUGGCCGUUGAGAAGCGGCGGGGGAGGAAGAAGGGCCUCUUCUUCAAGUAG
rnacentral:rRNA from 1 species